rnacentral:lncRNA from 10 species
AGCAAAAUGGGUGGUUGCCAGGGGCUGGAGGAGGAGGAUAAUGCAAAUUGCUAAUCAAUGGGCAUAGGUCUCAAUUAUGUAAACUGAGUGAGGCCUAGAAAUCUACUCGACAAUUGUUCCCACAUUUAACCAAUAUUUUAUUUACAUGAACAUUCAUUAAGAGAGUAGAUCUCAUGUUAAAUGUUCCUAAAAUAAAAUUCUAAAAGAUUUUUAAAAAAGGCUGGGCACGGCUCACGCCUGUAAUCCUAGCACUUUGGGAGGCCAAGGUGGGUGGACCAUGAGGUCAGGGGUUUGAGAACAGCCUGGCCAACAUGGUGAAACCCCAUCUCUACUAAAAAUACAAAAAUUAGCCGGGUGUGGUGGCACGCACCUGUAGUCCCAGCUACUCAGGAGGCUGAGGGAGAAGAAUCGCUUGAACUCGGGAGGUGGAGGUUGCAGUGAGCCUAGACUGCACCAUUGUACUUCAGCCUGGGUGACAGAGCAAGACUCUGUCUCAAAAAAACAAAACAAAAAAGAUUAAAAAUGUUAUCAGACCUGCUAUUCUACAGUUCUGGCUCUAUGUGUAUAGUAUACAUACUCAUAUUUUUAAGAAACCCAAUAACAGCAUUUUCUGUCAUAUGGCUUUUCCCACUACCUUUCCUUUCAUUGAAAGGAAUAGCCAACAGCAACACAAUCUUUGUGUUUCAUUAAUGAAAUAAUGCUGUUCAUUCUAUUAUUAAAUGGAACUUUUCUAAAUUAUUAAUACCUUAGCUGUUGUGUGGAGUUUAACUGUACUUCAUCAGAGCCAGAGAGGUGAAAACAAAUUCAAAUUUUAUAGUAAUUAUUGUUUGGAAUGAAACAAUAGCAGAAAUACCUAAAAGAAAAACCCCAAGUCUUGUUUCAGUUAAUAGAGUACCUUUAUAGUUAUCUUUGUUGCAAGGAUGAAUUCUCAAAGAAAACAGUUAUUUAUGACAAGUACGCCAUUCACUGCAAACCCACAAAAGAUAAUUUCAAAUAAUUUUUAGUAGAGAACAUUUAGUAUUUAGAGAAAUUUGGAAUUUUUAGUAUUCGAAAAACAUUUGCAUAAAUGCUUGAAAUUUUUCAAAAUGGAAAAAGCUUUUUUCCCUAGUACUACAGGAUCGUUGUAAAAUAUGUUAUAAAGAUACAGAAAACGUAAAUGUUCCUCCAUAAUUCCACCCUCCUAGAGCUAACACUGUUAACAGCUUGGUAUGUAUCCUUUUAGAUUUUACAAAUGCCCAUAUAAACAUGUAGAAGAAUCUUUUACAUAAAUAAGGCCAUAUUAUACAUACUGUUAUAUAACUGUUUUUUUUUCCUUACUUAGAAAUAUAUUUGAAGCUCUUUCUAUGACAAUGUAUAAGCAUUCAUCAUUCUAUCAGAUCCUUGUAAAUGUCUGCCUGGCACACUAUCUUAUGAAUAUUUAUAAUUUAAUCAAUUCCCAAUUGAUGGACUUUUCGGUUAUUUUCAAUUUUGUAUUAUUAUAAACAAUAAUUAAGACCAUAAUUUUCUGAAGCCAGAGGGCACUAACUCAAACAUUAUAGCAUAGACACAGCAGUUCAUUAAUAAUGUAAUUAAGACAAACCCACUAAGAUUCAGAUGUAUCUUUUAAAAUGGCUUUUUAAUAACCUGAACUCUAGCAUUUUAUGAAAGUAUACUUUGUAGGUUUCCCUUAAUUUAACAGUUAAAUUUCUGUUGAAUGAAAAAAACUCACAAAAUAUACUCACAAAAUGUACUUAUGCACAUAGGCAAGGUCUGGAAAGUAACAUGGAACACUUAUAUAAGCAGAUUUGUUAAGUGUGUGAGAUUACAGGUACAUUUUCUUAUGUUAUUGCUAUAUGUGUUUUAUACAAUAAACUUAAAUUUUUUUCUCGUUUUUACUGACUUUCAAUAUAUUUCAAAAUCCAAAUUUUUCAUAAUGAAGCCAUCAACCAUUUUCCUGCUAAAAGUGAGUCUCACAACACUGCUGCACCUCUAAUACUUUAAUAAUACGCAUUUGUUGAAAUAUUCUCUAAGCUAAGGACUUGUAAAAGUAAUGACAUUUCAAAGCCUCCCCAAAACAAUCUCAAUUAAUUUUCAACAUUUUAGUUCAGAAAAACUUAAAAACCUGAGUUUUCCACAUGUUGGAAACUACACAUAAAUUCCUGUAAAUUUAAUAGACAGGAGACUAAAUCAGUCAUCAUGAUACUCUAUUAAAGAAGAAAACUUUACUCAACUUACUUCCAGGUAAUUAGGCACAUUGGGGUAACUACCCAUAAACGGGACAUGUUGGCCAGGACUGUGAAUGGGGCUCUGCUGUGGUAUCACCUUUCCUCUAAACAGCUGUCAUAGCCAUGAAAACCUUGUAAGCCAAAACAAAACAAAACAAAAAAACCAUUCCCACAGACCCUCACCAGACCUGAAGUCCAGCCUUCCUAGCUCAGCCCAUUUACAAGUUCAUUAUGUAACUUCUCUGUGCCAGGCCCUGUGCUAGGUGCUGAGGAUAUAAAAUUACUAGGAAAAGUGCCUGCCUUCAUUGAGCUUCCUUACAGGAAUGGAUUAGAUAAUUUUUUCCCUCAAAACAGAGAUCACCAUGUGUUAUGCUAGCAUCACCUAUCCUCAUUCAUCUGCCUACUCCAAUUUUACUAUUAGAAAAAUUCUUUAAUAUACUUUAGAUACCAAGGUUUGUUAGAAAACUAAAAUAAGGCCAGGUGCGGGAGCUCAGGCCUGUAAUCCCAGUACUUUAGGAGGCUGAGGCAGGAGGAUUGCUUGAGGCUAGGUAAGACGAGCCUGGGCAACAUAGCGAGACCCUGGGUGUGGUGACGAGCACCUGUAGUCCCAGCUACUCGGGAGGCUGAGGCAGGAGGAUUACUUGAAUCCAGGAGUUGGAGGCUGCAGAGAACUAUGAUGGCACCACUGCACUCUAGCCUGGGCGAUAGAGAGAAACCCUUUCUCAAAAAAUAAAAAAUAAAAUAAGACAAUACAUACUUUAAUUAUUUAGCCUUUUUAGCAUGAUCUUCACCUGAAUUUUAAUAAAUUUAAAAAUAAAAGGAAUAAAGUUCUCCUUACAUAUAUUUACAUACACAUAUACCCCUAAAUCUUACUCCUUAUUAUUCUUGGUUAUUAAACCAAUCUGUUAAAUACAAAACUGAACUUCAAAGACCAUUUUAAAUUACAAGUGUAACUUCAAAAAACAAAUACAAAUUAAAUGGCCUUCUUUGUACUAGAGGAAGUAUUUUAAAAAGGGAAUCUUGCAUUUCAUAACUAUGUUAACUUUACAAUAUUGAUCUGAUAAAGUGACACUGGACAAAGGUUCUCUUUCAGCUUCAAAAGAUGAAAAGCUGGUCCUGUCAGUUGAUAAUAGUUGCUGAGAAUAAAACAAUCCACUAUAGGUUGGUGCAAAAGUAAUUGCGGAUUUUGCAAUUAAAAGUAAUGGCAAAAAUCGCAAUUGCUUUUGCACCAACCUAAUAGCUACUACCUAGUCACUAGUCCUGGUAUUACCAGAAAAUCUAGAUGGUCCCUAAUGGACUAGGAAAAAACUCUUGGCUACAGUAAAUCAAAGAGGCACUACUCCCUGUUAUUGAAAUGAACAUCCUAAAACAAACAAACUGAUACGACUGAAUGUAACAGCAAGUAGAUUUUUUUUAAUCCUUCAUAAAAUGUUGCAAUUUCAAGGACAGCUGCUAUCAUAUUCAUGUACCAGUAUCACCAUCAAAAAGUUUCCAGUUUCCCUGGUUUUCUAUGGAAAAUUUUAUCAUCCUCCUAUUACAACAGGUUUAGGAGGAGAUAAUGAGAAGUUAAGAAGACGGGAUAAUGACGUCCAAAGAGUUGAAUAUGAGGGUAGUGUCAAUGUUGAAAGAAUAUAUCAUAACACUUCUGAAUAUCUAAGCUGGAAGGAAAUGAGGGCUGGAGAGGGAUUCAAUUAAUAGCCCACAGGGGAUAUCAUAAUCUACUUAGUUUAAUUAACUUCAACUUUAAUGAGAUUUUUUUUUUUUUCAAAAUAAUAUGAACAGUGCACUAAGCUUGGCCUAUUGCCAAACACAAUCUCUCUCUUCCUUGGAACUAAUUAAAUGAGAAAGGAUAUAGGAAAGUCAUGGAAACAAAAGUAUAGGAACUGCCAAAUUGUACUAGCUUCAUAAAGUAUGGUGCCUGCAGUCUUAGAUAUAUUUAUGUUUAUGUUUAAAUACAGAUAUAUUUAAAAGGCUACAGCAACAUCUACCCGCUCCUUACAGCCUGGUCCAGUGAGGGGUAUUCCCUCCUCUCAAAGUCCACCUCCAGGCUUCUUGUUCUACUUCAGGUACCUGAUUCUCUAGGUGCAGUUUUGAAGUAGUUGACCAUGUUUGAAGUGGUAGAUGAUUUUUCUAGUAAUUAUUCUUAGCUGCCUGAUUAUUUUAAAGUUAAUAAUGUGUAAGACCUCAAAAGGGCUUUAAAAACAACCCAAAACUACCUGGUUGAAACGACUGCUCAAAAAAUAAACUUUCAGUUAAAUGUUCCUUUAAUCUUUUUUCCUCUUCUUCCUUUUGUUGUUCUUUUGCUGAUGGGAGAAGAGUAGCAACAACCUCUUUUCUUCCCAAAGCCUUCCUUUGGCUUUGCUCGGAAACUUGGAGACGGAAUUUGUCUAUUACACCAUAGUGACAGGAUCGAACAUCUCGAUGACGAAUCACACUGAAAACAGCAAAAAUAACAAAUGCUGUUUAGAUUUCUGGGGGCCGGCCAAACAGAAGGCAGUGAGAUAUUUUAAUAUAUUAAACAAUAUUAACUGACUACAACCAAAUACUCAAAAACAGAAAUUUGCUAAGAUGUUAAAAAAUCACAGUAUAACCCAAAAGAAAUGAGUAAUUCGGAAACAUUGGAUGAAAGCACAUAAUCUAAAACACAGAAUAAAAGUCUUAAGCAAAAAAAUAACAGGUAAAGAAAAUUCCUUU